rnacentral:rRNA from 1 species
AUACGGAGGAUCCGAGCGUUAUCCGGAUUUAUUGGGUUUAAAGGGAGCGUAGGCGGACGCUUAAGUCAGUUGUGAAAGUUUGCGGCUCAACCGUAAAAUUGCAGUUGAUACUGGGUGUCUUGAGUACAGUAGAGGCAGGCGGAAUUCGUGGUGUAGCGGUGAAAUGCUUAGAUAUCACGAAGAACUCCGAUUGCGAAGGCAGCCUGCUGGACUGUAACUGACGCUGAUGCUCGAAAGUGUGGGUAUCAAACAGGAUUAGAUACCCUGGUAGUCCACACAGUAAACGAUGAAUACUCGCUGUUUGCGUUAUACAGUAAGCGGCCAAGCGAAAGCGUUAAGUAUUCCACCUGGGGAGUACGCCGGCAACGGUGAAACUCAAAUGAAUUGACGGGG